UAUCAAUAUCCCGCGGCUUUCGUCUGGCCUUUGGUUUGAUUAGGAUUGCCCAAAACCCGAGAUUUCAGCAGUAUUUAAUGAUAAAAACUUGAGUGUAUGACUUAAAAGCAUGUUAUUAAAGACAAGCAAGAAACGAGCUUCAAAAAAAUAAUUUAGGAAAAGAAAUUGACCGAAAUCGCACCGAGUUAUGGCCAUGCUAUUGGAAGCAAGACGAAGGUCGAAAUUCAGUUAUCGGUCUUGGAUAUUCUAAAGUCUAAACUACCUUUAAAACAACAAGGCAGGGACAAGGGAAGGGAAGAUUAUAUUUCUUCGUUUUUAUAUCAUUCAAAGUCGUAAGAACCUCAUCGAAUGUAGGAAUUUGUAUUGUCUACGACGCGCAGCGAAGGAAUCGUAUUGUAUUGCUGUAUUAGUAAUACAAUUUACUAUAAAUAUUGGGAAUCAGGCUCGGGUGAUCACUUAGUGUUGCGUGUAGAAUACUGAAUCCCUGACUUAAAUUUUUGCUUCUGCGGGAUGCUCAAAUACUCGGACUUUUGAGUAUUUGCAGUUGGCGCGUUAUUUAAAUUUCGUGGGAAAAUGAAGCAUACCGCUGCCCAGUACCGUAUUGAAGUCUCACAAACAUGAGGCCACACAACGGUUUGGUCAGUGGCGAAUAUAUAUUAUUUCAUGCUCCGAACAUAAACAAAACAUCAUGGAGACUAUAAUUUUGAAGACGAGCUUUAAUUUCGUCUUUAAAGUUUUGAAAUACCCCAAAUAUUCGAGAAGUUAUGGCUGUUUCAAUGUGCAAGAUAUUUGCUCCUUUAGCGGAGGAUUUG